AGAUGCCAUGAGUCCAAAGGAAUCAUCCCGCCCCCAGCAGACAAGCGUGGAGCCAGCCUGCUCCUCUGGCCAAAGCAUUCCACCCCCGGACCUCUCCUCCAGGAAGAAGAGAUGUGGAAGAAGAGAUGUGGGUAUGGUGGAUUCUGACCCUUGGCUCCCCAAAGUUCCACAGAGCCCAGCUCCCACUGAAGGCAUAUGACCCAGAUCCUGAGAACCAGAUGCACCGGCCUGAGCUUUCGUCAGAAGCAAGGACACACAGAACCUUUCUUAGAGGCAUCAUUAGAGGACCGGACAUGGUGGCCAGAGGCUGCAGGGACAGAAGUCCCAGGGCCAUGUCCAGGAACUGGGCUCAGGGGACCUCCUGGUGCCACCUGCAUAUCUGAGCCCAUGGAGUUCCUCUGGUCUAUUCAGUUCUCUCAUUUUAACUUAAUUUUGUUUUUGUAGGCUUUCUUAAAAAAUUGCCCAGUUCAUUUACCUGAUCACGUUUAUUGUUCAGAGUUGAGUGUGGUUCUCUCGUAAUUAUUUAGUCUCCACUGGGUCUGUGAUUAUAUUUCCUUUCUUAUUGCUAAUGCUGUUUGUGUUUGAUUUUCUUCUUUUUUUUCUUGGCCUGACUUAAAGAGGUUUGUCUGUUUUAUCUUUAUUUUAAAAAUAACCAACUGUUUAUUUUUACUUCUCCACUGUGAUUUCCCCCUUUAUUUCUUUAAUGUUUGAGUUUAUAUUUUUUCCUAUUUAUUUUGGCUUAAAUUUUAUUAUCAUUUUGCUAUAUCCUUGUGUCAAGCGCUUAAUUCAAUUAUUUUGUUAUUUUGACUUCUAAAAAAUCAGUUAAUUCUAUAAGUUUUCCUCUAUGUACUACAUUGAGCAAACUCCACAGAUUUCUGUAGGGGGCAUACUAAUUGUAAUUCAAUUUCGUUUUCCAUGUGUAGGUCCAGAUUUAUUUGAAUGUCCAAAUACUUAGAAUUGUAGGCUCUUGUUUUGUUAUUAAAGUCUGGUUUUAUUACAUUGUGUUUAGAGAAAAUAAUAUGGAGGAUUUUAAUUUUAGAUAAAGCAUUAAUAUCUUUUUUAUCCUCAAACAUGAUCAAUUUUUGACAGUGUUCCAAAAAUAUACUAUGAAAUAUAUAUUAAAAAAAAAAA
rnacentral:lncRNA from 1 species